GGAGUGGUAAGCUUGAGGGUUCGGAAGCAAAUGUCGUAAAGAGCUUCAUUAUCAAGAACCAUACACUCAUCUGCAUUUUCAACCAAUUGAUGGACAGAUAGGGUUGCGUUGUAUGGUUCUACCACCGUAUCAGAGACCUUGGGAGAGGGGAAAACAGAGAAAGUAAGCAUCAUUCGAUCAGGGUAUUCCUCCCUGAUCUUUGAAAUCAAAAGAGUACCCAUGCCAGAUCCAGUUCCACCUCCUAGAGAAUGGCACACCUGGAAACCUGAAAAGCAAAGCAACAUCAAUACAAAAGCAAAAUAACAGCAAUACCAACACAAGCAAAAGAGAGAUCCAAUCACAAACCCU
rnacentral:lncRNA from 1 species